AUUGAACGCUGGCGGCAGGCCUAACACAUGCAAGUCGAGCGAGCGGCGGAAGGGUGAGUAAUGUCUGGGAAACUGCCUGAUGGAGGGGGAUAACUACUGGAAACGGUAGCUAAUACCGCAUACCAUCAGAUGUGCCCAGAUGGUAUUAGCUAGUAGGGGGGGGAACGGCUCACCUAGGCGACGAUCCCUAGCUGGUCUGAGAGGAUUACCAACGACAGUGGAACUUAGACAUGGGCCAGAGUCCUACGGUAGGAAGCAGUGGGGAAUAUUGCAUAAUGGUCGCAAGCCUGAGGCAGCCAUGCCGCGGGUGUGAAGAAGGCCUUCGGGUUGUAAAGCACUUUCAGCGGGGAGGCGUUACCCGAAGAAGAAGCACCGGCUAACUCCGUGCCAGCAGCCGCGGUAAUAC
rnacentral:rRNA from 1 species